rnacentral:rRNA from 1 species
AACGAACGCUGGCGGCAUGCCUAACACAUGCAAGUCGAACGAGACCUUCGGGUCUAGUGGCGCACGGGUGCGUAACGCGUGGGAACCUGCCCUUAGGUUCGGAAUAACUCCCCGAAAGGGGUGCUAAUACCGGAUAAUGUCUUCGGACCAAAGAUUUAUCGCCUUUGGAUGGGCCCGCGUUGGAUUAGCUAGUUGGUAGGGGAAAAGCCUGCCAAGGCGACGAUCCAUAGCUGGUCUGAGAGGAUGAUCAGCCACACUGGGGCUGAGACACGGCCCAGACUGGUACGGGGGGGAGCAGUGGGGAAUAUUGGACGAGGGGCGAAGGCCUGAUCCAGCAAUGCCGCGGGAGUGAGGAAGGCCUUAGGGUUGUAAAGCUCUUUGACCCGGGAUGAGAAUGACAGUACCGGGAGAAUAAGCUCCGGCUAACUCCGUG